rnacentral:rRNA from 1 species
GAUGAACGCUGGCGGCGUGCCUAAUACAUGCAAGUCGAGCGAACAGAUAAGGAGCUUGCUCCUUUGACGUUAGCGGCGGACGGGUGAGUAACACGUGGGUAACCUACCUAUAAGACUGGGAUAACUUCGGGAAACCGGAGCUAAUACCGGAUAACAUUUGGAACCGCAUGGUUCUAAAGUGAAAGAUGGUUUUGCUAUCACUUAUAGAUGGACCCGCGCCGUAUUAGCUAGUUGGUAAGGUAACGGCUUACCAAGGCGACGAUACGUAGCCGACCUGAGAGGGUGAUCGGCCACACUGGAACUGAGACACGGUCCAGACUCCUACGGGAGGCAGCAGUAGGGAAUCUUCCGCAAUGGGCGAAAGCCUGACGGAGCAACGCCGCGUGAGUGAUGAAGGGUUUCGGCUCGUAAAACUCUGUUAUUAGGGAAGAACAAAUGUGUAAGUAACUGUGCACGUCUUGACGGUACCUAAGCAGAAAGCCACGGCUAACUACGUG